GUCUACGGCCAUAGCACCCUGAACGAGCCUGAUCUCGUCUGAUCUCGGAAGCUAAGCAGGGUCGGGCCUGGUUAGUACUUGGAUGGGAGAAUUAAAGAAAGCUCAUUAAUUAUAGGAA
rfam:Equus caballus chromosome 14, whole genome shotgun sequence.